GGAGGUGCCGAAGCUACGAGCCAAUAUCAAGAAGCUGCAACUGCAGAAUUGUACAUGAUGAAUUGGGUGUUAUGAUAUUGAUAGUGGUUGUGUUUGUGGUUAAUUUUCCAGGAGCUUAACUUGGGGAGGAAAAGGAUAAAAUCACUUCAGCAUGAACUUUUGUGGAGGAAAGGGAAGGAUUUGAGUGUCCAAAUGAGGGAGCUGUUGUGAAAUUUGGGAAGGUUAGCUAGUGGUUCCUCCUAACUCCACUGUAAUUAUGAGCUUGAGCUAGUGCCAUUUGAGAAGGAUAUGGAAAAUGGAGGAUGCUAUAGAUGGUGGUGCACCUUUGGAUUAUGCUUCAAAACAUGUUAGCUCUGAAACAGUGUCGAGUUA